AUGUUUGCUUCUGUGUCCCUAUCUCGCGUCAACAACAUCCGAGCCUCUCUCACGAAUGCGCAGAAGGGAUCCCAGUCGGCUUCGGCCUACUUCGGGUACAUGAGGUCUCUCUCCGACGAGCUCGCGGCGGCAGGCAAACCGAUCGGGGAGGGAGAACUCAUCUCCUUCAUCGUCGCUGGACUCGACAUGGAGUACCAACCGAUUGUCUCCGCGCUGGAUGUGCGCACGGAGCGUACCACCGUCGACGCCCUCUUCUCUCUCGUGGCCAACUUCGACCAGAGGGUCGAGAUGUUCCAUGGAAACGGAGCCGGUGGUUUCAAAUCGUCUGCAAACUCCAUCUCCCGCGGCGGCGGGCGACAAGGAGGCAACAAGGGCGGCUACCGCGGCAACACAAACCAGAAGGGCAACGGUGGCGGCCCCCGUGGUGGCCCUGGCUAUGGCGGCGGUGGCCACCCUAACGGUGGUGGAUCUGGCGGCUCUGGCGGCUACGGUGGGGGAGGCUAUGGCUACCACCAGAACAACUACGGCGGCGGUGGCGGAUCCUAUCAUGGUGGUGGCGGCGGAGGCUACUAUCACCAGGGGAAUUCCAGCAACAACAACGGCCGGCGCCCCCCCUCCAACGGCAACAGGGGCCGAAACAUCCAAGACUACGAAGGCUACGAGGGUAAAUGUCAAAUCUGCAAAAAAACUAAUCAUAUUGCUAAGGACUGUGAUUGGCGUUAUGCCGAUGAUACGUCCCAAAAGAAAAAAAAUUGUUGCUGCAGCUGA
rnacentral:rRNA from 1 species